CCUACGGGUGGCAGCAGUGAGGAAUCUUGGACAAUGGGCGCGAGCCUGAACCAGCCAAGUAGCGUGAAGGAUGACUGGCCUACGGGUUGUAAACUUCUUUUAUAAAGGAAUAAAGUGAGGCACGUGUGCCUUUUUGCAUGUACUUUAUGAAUAAGGAUCGGCUAACUCCGUGCCAGCAGCCGCGGUAAUACGGAGGAUCCGAGCGUUAUCCGGAUGUAUUGGGAUUAAAGGGAGCGUAGAUGGGUUGGUAAGUCAGUUGUGAAAGGUUGCGGCUCAACCGUAAAAUUGCAAUUGAUACUGGCAGACUUGAGUACAGUUGAGGUAGGCGGAAUUCGUGGUGUAGCGGUGAAAUGCUUAGAUAUCACGAAGAACCCCGAUGGCGAAGGCAGCUUACUAAACUUUGACUGACAUUGAUGCUCGAAAGUGUGGGUAUCAAACAGGAUUAGAUACCCGUGUAGUC
rnacentral:rRNA from 1 species